UGUCCUCUCCCCAGAAUUUCACAGCCAGCUGAGGAUAUAGCCAAGUGGAGAAUUGCUUAAGCAAAUUGAAAUGAAGACCUGGCCUGAAAAUUUUCCCUAGCUAACAGUCCCGUUCCACCUCGGAAAUAAGCUUACUGAAAUUGAAAACAUGAUCAAAACUUUGCCUUAUUAUUUGCAAAUGCUUAUGAUAUAGAAAAAAAUGUUAAGCUCUACCAGCCGAAAGCAUCAGCCUGACAUAACUUCAACACUCCAGGGAGUCUGCACUGGGAUGGACAAAAAAUAAAGUGGCUGUGGGACUAUUGCAGCCAGAUCCGUUCUUUCUUUCCAUGCUCACUUUGUGGAAGCUUGUCCCUGGGCUUCUCUGAUGAAGCCCCAAG
rnacentral:lncRNA from 1 species